GGGGCUGUAGCUCAGUUGGUAGAGCGCUUGCAUGGCAUGCAAGAGGUCGCCAGUUCGAUUCUGGUCAGCUCCA
rnacentral:tRNA from 1 species